rnacentral:rRNA from 1 species
CGGGACGGGUGGAGUAACGCGUGGGUAACCGUGCCUUGUACUGGGGACGAACAGUUAGAAAUAGACUGCUAAUACCGCAUAAGCGCACAGUAUCGCAUGAUACAGUGUGAAAAACUACCGGUGGUACAAGAUGGACCCGCGUCUGAUUAGCUAGUUGGCAAGGUAACGGCUUACCAAGGCGACGAUCAGUAGCCGACCUGAGAGGGUGACCGGCCACAUUGGGACUGAGACACGGCCCAAACUCCUACGGGAGGCAGCAUG